rnacentral:lncRNA from 1 species
CCCCCCCCCCCCCCCCUCUCCUCUCUUUCUUUCUCCAAAAUAAUGAAGCAAUGAGUCCUUAUAUAAGACCAAAUUAGGGGUUUUUAGGGAUUCCACAAAUAGGAUAUUUUUGAAUUUGAAAUUCAAAUUUCCCAUUUGGCUUGGGGUUUCAUCAACAAGGACCCCUAUUUUGGAUUAUCUUCAACUGAUUUCCAAGAAAGGCCAAUAGAAAAUGGGGGAAAUGGAAUAGUCUCCCCCAAACCAAUAAAAAUGGCCCAAAUAUGUCCCAAAUUUGUACCUUCAUCCCGAGAUUCGCGGAUUUGAGCCAUUGGAGGUGACACCUAAGCUAUUUUUUAGAAGCUUCACAGUUCUUCUUCGUUGUAAUAUCGCGUGAGACGCGUGUGAGAAUGAUCGUGUCGGGUUUUUCGGAUCGUUGGCGAGUUGUUGGGGGUGUUAUCGGGUCCUUGGAUUUGGGUGGAGAGUUGUUGUUGUUUGUGGUCGAAGGUUGUAUGCUGAUUGUCAAAUCAAAAAUUGGAAGAUGAUAUUAUUGUUUUGGCUGAUGGAGAGGAAAUAUAUGGGAUGGGCCGGGUUGGAAGGUUGUUGUUGGGCUGAAAUAAAAUGAUAAUUCAAAAGAAACUGGGUUGCUGGUGGGCUGAAAUUGUUGCUAUGUUAAAUUGGGCUGGUUAGGUUGAUUAUUGUUGGGUUGUUGUGUUGGGCUUGGGAAAUUGCGGAUUAAUUUAAACUAAACCUCAAUUAAAUUAUGAUAUGGAUAGGUUAGGCUAUUUUGGCUAUUUAUUAAAUAGCCAAAAGAAAGAAACUUUAGGCAAUUUCAUUUAAUAUUUAGCCUAAUU